CUGGUAGCUGGGGGAGGCGGCCGGCCACCGCCUACGCUCGCGGGGUGAGGGUCGGCGCUGCCCCGCGGAGCUGGACGCGCCGAGUGACUGUUCUCGCCGCGUAGCACAGGGGGAAAGUCAAUGGCUGGGGGCGAGCCGGCUCUGCCCACGGGGACGCGACGGGCGUCUGGCCAGAGGGCGUAUUAAUGGGCCCCUGAAGAUGCAUUUCAUGUGAUGCGGGAGGCAGUGGCGCCUCAAAGAAGAAGAUGAGAUGAGCAAGCCAUCAGCCAACUGCUGAAGACUACAGGAGAGGAUGGAGUGGAUUGGUCCUUGGACCCUCCAGAUGACACCAAGGAAAGAAACCAUUUUGAAGCUGCCUCGUUCUUUGGUCUCUUCCUGUUAAACUUACAUAUAUUGAAAGAAAAGACAAGACAAAAUACAAUCUCUGCCAUGUAGAACACUGGGAACAAGGUUUCAGAGUGGUAGCUGUGUUAGUCUGUAUCAGCAAAAACAAGUAGUCCUUGUGGCACCUUAAAAACUAACAGAUUUAUUUGGGCAUAAGCUUUCAUGGGCUAGAACCCACUUCAUCAGAUGCAUCUCUAAAUUUGUUAAUCUCUAAGGUGCCACAGGACUCUUCGUUUUUACUGGGAACAAGCUAUUUCUCAUGAUUUUGUAACCAUCUAGCUAACUCUGGUUCUUCCUAAAGAGACUCACCUUUUCCUAAGGGAAGCUCUUAGCCAGCAAGAGCUAACUGCCCAUCCCCAACUAUUAUUCCCAACAGCUACGGAACCUUUCUUUUCCAACAUUCUGUGGAGCUCAUGCCAAAUUCUCUGUUCAAAGUUCCUCCUCAACUGCAGAUUUAAUAUUGAUGCUAAUUAGAUGUACUCUGAAGACAAACCAUCCUUCUGAACAACACUUACAGUUUGUAUCUCCAUUAACUUGAGGUCGCAGUAUUUAUGGAGCCAAUAGCCCUUCAUACUAAAUUUACUUCAAUAGGAGGUCUGAGUUUGGGAUCAGCAAUCUCCAGUUUCCAUCACUGGGGUUUGUUGAGCAGAAGGCAGAUCUUCAGUCCUUUCUCUGGUCAAGGCAAAAUCUCAACAAUCUUCCCAUUUCCUUCCAACUCUCAUAUUUAGACCUAACGGUAUCCAGGAAGCAGCUAGAAAGUUGCCAUGAGAAUUCAGAUAUCACUUUCUAGAAUGCUUUGAUGCUUUAGAGGCCUGCCCUUUCACAAUAAUUAGUAACAAAAUGUUAUGCAAUAUAUUGGCAGGGCAACAGCUCAGUUUAAUAACUCAGUGGCUUACUUUCAAAACUAGUAUCAGAGGGGUAGCCGUGUUAGUCUGAAUCUGUAAAAAAGCAACAGAGGGUCCUGUGGCACCUUUGAGACUAACAGAAGUAUUGGGAGCAUAAGCUUUCGUGGGUAAGAACCUCACUUCUUCAGAUGCUCCCAAUACUUCUGUUAGUCUCAAAGGUGCCACAGGACCCUCUGUUGCUUUCAAAACUAGUGCCAAAAUGUAAAAUCAAAUGCCAAAAAGUUGAUUUUUCAAAAUACCACACAUCAGCCAACUUUAGGGAACAUCUGCCUACUUAAUGUUGAAAUUUAAGCAAUUUAUUUUUUGGAGGGAAAAAAUCCCUCUAGGAAGAAUAUUUGCUUUUGUAUGUAUUUUACAGUGUAAUGAAACAAUUAUGUAACAGGUUGACAUUAUUGGAAAGAAAAACAGGAAAGAAUGACUUCAGACUAAAGAAGGGAGAGUUUAGUUGAGAUCAGAGAGAAACAUGUCCUUAUUGUAACAGCAAUUCAACAAUAGAACACCUUUGCACAUGAGGUCACUGAGACACUAUAAAUGAUGUUUAUAGAUUAGGUAAGACUCAGUAACUUUUAUGAUAGAUACAAUCCUUUGCAGACAUAAUGUUUAUUGUUGUGGGGGAAGGUGUAAAGAUUUUUUAAAAGCUGUUAGACUUAAAUAAGUGCAAGAACUGUGUGCUUUAGAAAAGCUAAAACUAUGAAAAACAGACACUGAGAGAAGAAAGAACAGGAGUACUUGUGGCACCUUAGAGACUAACAGAUUUAUUUGAACAUAAGCUUUCGUGGUCUCUAAGGUGUUUAACAAAUGCCUGUGCUAUUAAAAGCCAAAUUCUCACCUCUCAUGUUAUCUUGGUUUCAAGUCCUCUGCUUUGCUGCCUAGCCAUGCUUACUGUUGCCCCUGGACAUUUUCCUUACUUGUGCUUCCAGGAGCUACCAUGACUUCCAGCUAUCCCUGGAAUCUCCCUUGUGUGCCAUGAAUGGGAGGAAUGAGUCUGAUACAGAUGAGUAAAUAUCCUUUAAUUCUCUAUCCAGAUGUUUUGUUUUAUAGGGGUAACUUUUUAAUUUAAAAAUAAAUUAUAUAAAUCCA